GGAGAGAUGUCCGAGUGGUUGAAGGAGCACGCCUGGAAAGCGUGUGUACGUUAAUAGCGUACCGAGGGUUCGAAUCCCUCUCUCUCCG
rfam:Geobacteraceae bacterium GWC2_58_44 gwc2_scaffold_1036, whole genome shotgun sequence.